ACAAAGUAGGGACAGAAGGAGAGGAAUGUGAGCAUCGACUGCAGACUGAUGGCUCGUGAUGCAACACAAAACUGACACAAAAAGGCCUUUCUGUUGCCAAACAUCUGUAGCAUUAGAUCAUCCACCUAAAAUAAGAAUACGCAGACUUCCUGAAUUUUCCACGCAGAAGAAAGACGUCAUUCACCAAAACCAAAAUGAGAUGCCCCUCAAUCUACAGCGACCACAGCACCAAGGAAUAUACAGUACAUGGCAUACAGCAAACAUGGUGGGGGGAUUUAUUUAUAGAAAUUAAGCUGGGCUUUGCAGGAUGGAUUAAUGUUUUCUUUUGCUUGACCGGGGGAGAGUCAAUCAGGAGAUUUGGUAUGACUGUUCCGGCCUGGGACGCAACAACAUCUCUAAAAUCCUCCGUACAAGUGAACACAAAGACACGCAAGGGUCCAACAGCAAAACAACCAAAUAAAUCCCACACAUAUCUCUAAGCACUGAUACAUCAUAGCAUCUCUCACAGCUCUGCCACUGAACACAAGUGAUGACAUGUCAAAAAAGUCUGAUAGCUAUAUCUGUGGAUAAAAACACUGUAGUUAUGUGACCCGUCUUUGACAUCAUCAUGGGAUUCCUGAUGUGUUCCUAUUUAAACUGAAUAUUAUUCACCCAUGAAUGGUAUACCAGCAGCGAAUAUUGUAACAGUGUGUUUUACAUACAGCUGAACAGUCAAUGUUUAUGUCAAGCAGGUUACGUUUGGAUUCAUACUGCUACAUUUCAAACAUUUACCCACCCAUUUAUUCAACCUUUUCCUACUUUUGCCUGACUAUCCCGACCACUUAUCCAUUAUUUUAAGCUUACUAUUUCAAGCAUUUAUCAAUUACUUUUAGGUAAUUAUUUCAAGCAUUUAUUAAUUAUUUUGAGCUUACUAUUUCAACCAUUUACCCAUUAUUUUUUAGGUCAUUAUUUUACCCAUUUAUCAAUUAUUUUUAGGUAAUUAUUUCAACCAUUUAUUAAUUAUUUUGAGCUUACUAUUUUAACCAUUUAUCAGUUAUUUUUAGGUAAUUAUUGCAACCAUUUAUCAAUUAUUUUUAGGUAAUUAUUGCAACCAUUUAUCAAUUAUUUUUAGGUAAUUAUUUCAACCAUUUAUCAAUUAUUUUGAGCUAACUAUUUUAAGCAUUUAUCCAUUAUUUUUAGGUAACUAUUUCAAGCAUUUAUUAAUUAUUUUGGGCUUACUGUUUCAACAAUUUAUCAAUUAUUUUUAAGGUAACUAUUUUAACCAUUUAUCCAUUAUUCUGAGCUAUUUCACCCAUUUAUCAUUUAUUUUCAGCUAACUAUUACAAUUAUUAAUUAUUUUUAGGUAUCCUUUUCGAACCACUUAUCAAAUACUUUCAUCUAACUAUUUUAACCAUUAAUCCCAAGUAAUUUUUUUUUACUUUUGCAAACUAUUGAAACCGCUUAUCUUUUCCUUCCAGAUAACUACUUCAACCAUUUAAUCUAUUAUUUUUUUAUGUAACUGUUUUAAUGAUUUAUACUUUCGACUAGCUGUUCUAACCGCUUAUCAAUUACUUAUUGCUUACUAUUCCAACCAACUGUUUUAACUGUUUAUCCAUUACUUUUAGCUAACUGUCUCAACCAUUCAUCAGUUACUUAUUACUUUUUUUUUUUUUUUUUUUAUUA